rnacentral:rRNA from 1 species
UACACUCCUGCGGGAGGCAGCAGUGGGGAAUUUUGGACAAUGGGGGCAACCCUGAUCCAGCAAUGCCGCGUGAGUGAAGAAGGCCUUCGGGUUGUAAAGCUCUUUUGUCAGGGAAGAAACGGUGGUGGCGAAUAACUACUACUAAUGACGGUACCUGAAGAAUAAGCACCGGCUAACUACGUGCCAGCAGCCGCGGUAAUACGUAGGGUGCAAGCGUUAAUCGGAAUUACUGGGCGUAAAGCGUGCGCAGGCGGUUGUGUAAGUCAGAUGUGAAAUCCCCGGGCUCAACCUGGGAAUUGCAUUUGAGACUGCACGGCUAGAGUGUGUCAGAGGGGGGUAGAAUUCCACGUGUAGCAGUGAAAUGCGUAGAUAUGUGGAGGAAUACCGAUGGCGAAGGCAGCCCCCUGGGAUAACACUGACGCUCAUGCACGAAAGCGUGGGGAGCAAACAGGAUUAGAUACCCCAGUAGUCCCAUGAU